UGGUUUCCACUUUCUUCCCUUCUCUGGUUUCAGGAGCUGUUGGCUAAAGGAAGUGGAGGGGCCGUGGGAUGCGGAGAGCCGAGGGCUAACUCUCGGACAGCGGAACGGAGAGAGCUGCCGACAAACAGACGCAGGUGGAGGAGCCAUCACCUCCCAGAAUGACCAGUGCCGCCCCCGCCCCUGCUAA
rnacentral:lncRNA from 1 species